UUUUUUAAUUGGAAACUUGUAUGAAUGGUUGGACGAGAUAUUAACUUUUUAAUUAAAUAAAUUUAGAAUUUUAUUUUUAAGUUAAAAAGCUUAAAUAAAAUUAGAGGACGAGAAGACCCCAUAGAGUUUAAUAUUUAAUUUAUAAUAUAUUUUUAAGAUUAAGAUAUUAUUAUUUUUAUAAAUAUUUUAUUGGGGUGAUAAUAAAAUUUAGUAAACUUUUAUAUUUUUUUAACAUUAAUAAAUGAAUUUUUGAUCCAAUAAUAUUGAUUAAAAAUUUAAAUUACCUUGGGGAUAACAGCGUAAUAUUUUUUUAGAGUUCUUAUCGAUAAAAAUGAUUGC
rnacentral:rRNA from 1 species